AGAGUCAUUACUUUUUCCAGUUCUUAUGUUAUCCUGCGAUUAGGUUUAGAAUUGGAGAUCUCACUGUCCCUGGAGUCACACAGAUAAAGACAUCAUAAUAGAAAGAGAGGUAAGAUUGUAUGAGAAAAUAACAGAGCUGCAAAACUAAAAUAAUAGGUCUGAUUAAUUUUUCCAGGUUGUAAAAAACAGCAGCUGUCUCUCCAAGAGACUGCAUGGAGAGAUAAGAAGGGGGGAUUUUUGACAGAAGGGCGCUCUGGGUCCUUAUUUGGUGUUUAGCCCAGGGAAUUGUAUAAAAAUCCAGCUUUUUUAAAAAAAAAAAAACAACCUUCAGGUAAUACUUUUCAUACACAAACACACACACACACACACAAAUAGCAAAGGAUGUAAAUGUCCAGUUAAGGAGAUUCUCUGAUAGAACUCUAGCACAUUGUUAAAUAAUUAUAUUGCUCUUCUGAUUGCCAGGCAACAGGGUGGAGGUCUGUUAAACUGUACAAUAGACAAGGCACUACAAGAAAUCCAGAUAACAGCCAACAGAACUGGUUAUAAAAAGAUUAGAAGCUCUUGAAGUUAACCAAACAGAAGGAGCAGAUAACACAUAUCUGCAGGUUCUAAAGGCAUGAGCAAGGGAAGGGUGAACCUUAGGACUGCAGCCUACACAGCAUCAAAUGGAAGGCUGAAUCAAUGGGAAGAGUUACAACUUCUUAUUUCCUUCUCUGUCAAGAUCGGAGCAGAGGGAGCAGCCGAAGACGCUUAGGAGGCAGGUCAGUUCACCCUGUGUCAGUUUAGGUGUGCUUGGAAAGCAUAUGCUACACCAUUUUCCAGGUAGUUUUUUAAAGGGAACUUAGAGAGGUUCCUGGAUUCAGGACCCCAAAUACUGUGUAGAUAGCAAUGGUUCCUCUAUAACUACAAGAUAAAAUUUAGCAUCCAAACUCUAUAUUUUGGCUUUCAAGGCCCUCACCACUCUACCUCUCAUCUAGCAAUUUUGCUUAAACAAUUUUUAUUGUGAACUAUACCAAAUGCAUAGAAAAGUAUAUAAAACAUGUAUGUACCGUUUAAGACAUGAUAAUUAUAAGAGUAGCUAUUAUAUUCUAGGCACAGUGAUCACAGUGCCUUCUUCCUAUUAUCAUAUUUGAUCUUCAGAAAAUCUUAAGGUAUCCUUAUUUUGCAGACUCCAGGGGUGGGUGGGUGUGGUGGAGUUUAAGUAACCUGCCCAAAGUCAUAGAGCCACACAGCUAGUAAGAGAGAGACGGAUUUGAAUUCUGGUCUGUCUGGAAACAAUUAGGUAUUCCUGUUUAGCAAAACAUGUCUUCCCCAGGCUGCUCAGGAAUUUCAUCAGCUCUUUCCUGCCCUAUCACCAUCCCCAGCAGAUUCAGCCUCGGCCACAGAGUCUGUUCAUUAUAGUGGUCCUGAUCCUAGGUGAGGAAAAAUGUUCAUGGGGAAGAAACGGUUAUGAAGCUAAGAUUUAUGCAGGACCAUUUUAUCAUUGUUUAUUUGCUUUAAGGUAAAAAAAAAAUCUUUACAGUUGUGAGCUACCUGUUGUUUGAUUUCUAAUAGCGUUGGCAGAUAAGUUGCCAGUAUUAUGUUCUAAAUAUUUCAUGGGACUAAAACUAUACAUUGUUUAUCCGAAGCCCAAAUCUUAUUGUGUGCACUGUGUUUUAUUUGCUAAAUCUGGCAAUCUCUGAGGAGAUUGCCUCUCAUUCUUGAAGUAAAAAAUAAAUGAAAAUAGCCAAAGCA
rnacentral:lncRNA from 12 species